UACGUAGGGGGCUAGCGUUGUCCGGAAUCAUUGGGCGUAAAGAGCGUGUAGGCGGCUUUACAGGUCCGUUGUGAAAACUCGAGGCUCAACCUCGAGACGCCGGUGGAAACCGUAAGGCUAGAGUCCGGAAGAGGAGAGUGGAAUUCCUGGUGUAGCGGUGAAAUGCGCAGAUAUCAGGAAGAACACCCGUGGCGAAGGCGGCUCUCUGGGACGGUACUGACGCUGAGACACGAAAGCGUGGGGAGCGAACAGG
rnacentral:rRNA from 1 species